ensembl:lncRNA
AGACAACUUUCUGGGAGUCAAAAAUACAGCCAAAAUUAAAAAAAAAAAAAAAAAAAAAAGUUAAUUAAGAAUAAAGCUCAAGCUAGAUUGGGAACUAAGGGUACAUCUCAGUCAGCUCCCUAGUUCAGUAGUCAGGCACUGAUCAGUGGGUCGGUCGUAUUAAGGGCUGUCUCAAUCGCAAAAUUGUUUUAGUGCACUGGAAAAAAAUCCCACAAUGAUCGCAAAGACCACGCAGCAUCGAUGUGCACUAAAUGGCGUCAGCUCUCAGCUCGUAAAGGCGGACGAACUCUCAGCCAACUUUGUCUACAAAUACUUCUGCAGACCUUCCUACACAGACUGGAAACGGUUGUGCUUGAACCCCUUGCUGGCUGAGUUUUUCCUCGAUUCCCUCAUGCACGGCACCACAUUGCUACAAGAAACGCUGAAGCCGGAGUGAAGUGAAAAUGCCACAGAGACACAUUUAAACGUCAUCACGCCGAACAGGAAAACUCACCUACUGCAGCCUCGUUGUGAUUCUACUUGCAG